AGGGUGUAAACGCUGCAGACUUGGUGUUGGGAACCCUUCGGGGGUGCUCAGUGCCGGAGAGAAGUUGUUAAGUCUGCUACUUGGGGAGUACGUCCGCAAGGAUGAAACUUAAAGGAAUUGGCGGGGGAGCACCGCAACGGGUGGAGCCUGCGGUUUAAUUGGACUCAACGCCGGGAAGCUCACCGGAUAAGACAGCGGAAUGAUUGCCGGGCUGAAGACUCUGCAUGACUAGCUGAGAGGAGGUGCAUGGCGUAGACGUCU
rnacentral:rRNA from 1 species